rnacentral:rRNA from 1 species
GAGAUGUGUGAUGACGCAUAUCAAUAAGCGGAGGAAAAGAAACUAACAAGGAUUCCCUUAGUAACGGCGAGUGAAGCGGGAAGAGCUCAAAUUUGAAAUCUUCAAGGUUCUACCUUGACGAAUUGUAGUUUAUAGAAGUGUUUUCUGUUAGUAGAGUGGCAAAAGUUCUUUGGAAUAGGACAUCAUAGAGGGUGAGAAUCCCGUAUUUGGUCAUUCUUUCUAGCUUUGUGAUACACUUUCAACGAGUCGGAUUGUUUGGGAAUGCAGUCCAAAAUGGGUGGUAAAUUUCAUCUAAAGCUAAAUAUUGGCGAGAGACCGAUAGCGAACAAGUACCGUGAGGGAAAGAUGAAAAGAACUUUGAAAAGAGAGUUAAACAGUACGUGAAAUUGUCAAAAGGGAAGCGUUUGACACCAGUGUUGUUUUUCCGAAAAUCAAUUACGAAUGUUUUGUUUUUAAGAAGUUAUGACUUCAUCGGCUUGCUUCUUUCUUUACGAAACUUUCUUAAUGCACUUUUCGGUUAACAAGUCAACAUCAAUUUCUUUUGUUGUAAAAGGGUACGAGGAAGGUGGCUUUCUUUUCGGAGAAAGUGUUUAUAGCCUUGUACCUCUGCAAUCGGAGAGAUUGAGGUCUGCAGCGUAGAUCCUUCGGGGUUAGAUACAUUUGUGCUAAGCUAUAGCCUUGUAUAGACAACUUGUUGACUAUGCUCAGUCAUGUAGCUUACUCGCUUAUGCUAUUUUACCUACGCUUAGGAUGUUGACAGCAGUAUAGACUGU